CAGGUGCAACUGUAGAGAAGAAUGCAUUUCAAGAAUGGAGGAGUUAUUUUUUUAUUAUGGGUGCUGGCUUUUAAGCAGAAGGGCCAGGAAGUGCCGAGCCACCCAGAAGGGGUUUCCCUGCGUUGAACAAGAAAGCAAACUUGAUCAGCAGUGGUGGAAAAGUGCAGUCUGCUUUGGUAGUGAACCAGGCCUUAAAGGAGGAAGCCAUGGAUUCUAAAGUAGCGUAUCCAGCGUAACUGAGCAGUUAGAAGUUUGGACUAGUCCAUGAAGCUCACCAGGUGACCUUGGGCCAGUCACUUCCUCUCAAGUUAACCUACCUCACAGGGAUGUUGUGAGGAUAAAAUAGGGGAGGGAUAACCAUGCACUCCUCCUUGGAAAAAGAGAAGUAAAAUAAGAACAAUAUUAAAAACUUUCCCCCAACAAAAAAACAA